GCCGGCGUAGCUCAGUGGCAGAGCGACCGCCUUGUAAGCGGUAGGUCGUGGGUUCGAAUCCCACCGCCGGCU
rnacentral:tRNA from 1 species